rnacentral:sRNA from 2 species
ACUUAGUCUGGAAAUGAAAGACAAAAGCCAAGCUUGAAGAAGAUGAGUCUGUGAUAGACUCUCUGCUCUCACAAGCUUGCUAUGUUUAUAGUCAGCUAGAAGAAGAUGCUCUAGCCAAGUUUCAAUUUUAAAUUGAGUUGUGCAUAUAUGAGAUGUGCACUUCUGAAGAAGUCUUCCAUCAACUAGAUAUUCUGUUCUUGAACUCUAUACUUCAAAUAUGUGCAAUACAAUGAUUGAACAGAAAUCAUCAGAGGAACAUAUCACUGACAAACUAUCUAUUCAACUUCAACAGCAAGAUACACAAAGCAGAAGAUCAGAAUUGAGAUAAUACUGUCAAGAUCAAUCUUCUGAAUCAGUAUAUUAGCU